ensembl:miRNA
UGAGGCAGGAGAAUUACUUGAACCCAGGAGGUGGAGGCUGCAGUGAGCCGAGAUCGUGCCACUGCACUCCAGACUGGGUGACAGAGCGAGACUCCAUAUCA